ensembl:lncRNA
AAAUUUACCUUGCAAUUCUGUAGGUUAUUAGUCCAACGUGGGUCUCACCAGCUUAAGCUCAAGGUUUCAGCAGGGCCACAAUCCCUUCUGUAGGCUCUAGGGGACCGUCUGUUUCCUUGUUCAUUUGGGUUGUAAGAAAAUUCAACUCCUUGAGGUUGUAGGACCAAGGUCACUGUUUUUUGCUGGUUGUCAUCUGGGGGCCAUUCUCAGUUUCUAGAGGCCACUCACAGUCCUUGGCUCCUGGUCCCCUUCCUCCAUCUUCAAAGCCAACAUCGGUGGGUGGGCCAAGUCCCUCUCACACUUUGAAUCACUCCUCCUGCCCCUGUCUGACCCAGCCAGGAAUGAUUCUCCACUUUGAAGGACUCACGUGAUGAGAUCAGUCAUGAACUUUGCCACCGUCAGGCACCUAGUAAGUAGCAGCAUCUGGUUUGAAACGCAGGUAGUUCUGCUCCUGACGCCAGGCCCUUAAGCACUCGAAGAGACUACUUUCCUAACGAAGCUCCUUUUGGGCAAAGAGAAAACAGUACCAUGUCAAGCCAUGUUGGAAACUAUGGUGAAAAGAAAAAUCUAGGAAAGUUCUACUGAUCCUGUCUUUACCUAAAAUGUUGAUAUUUUGUUUAUCGUGGAUAUUUUGCAUUAAUUUUGAUUUAAAACAUACUUCAUAAAAAUGUUAAUUUAUCUUGAUUACUGCAUUUUGGGCACUCCCUUAAAGUGUGUGCCUCCCCUCGCCCUCCGCCCAGGCCCUGAGAGAAAAGAACACACUGCUGAUUGCCCUUUACAGGGAUCCAGGUCUGCAAACAACGUUUCCAGAUCCAGGAUUUAUAAGCUGCUUAAAAUAAUAAAACGAUUACACCUGACAGAAUAUCAGAAAGGGCAUCAAAACUGUUCCUAAUAUUCUGAAACAUACACAGCAAAAAAAAUCUUAUCUUUACAUUUCCAUUGAUCCAAAGGAGAGAGGAGUAAUGAAGAUGAAGAAGACAGGGCUCACUCUGUUCUUUACUGCAGUGGGUUUAACUUUUCAGGAAAUUGCAGCAAACAUGUUCAGAACUUUCUUUGCUCAGAAGAGGGAGCUCUGCUUUGCGUUUCCCCAGCACCUAAGGCUUUGGGGUGUUUCUUUGUUUUGUAAACAGAGGAAUAGCAUUAAGGAUUCUAUAUAAAAGGCCAAGUUACUGGUUGAGCUGAUUACACUGUUGCUGCUGAAACAUUUGUCUCUUGUCAUUGUUCUGUCUCCAAACGGUCCUGCUCUGCUCAGUAGAUAACGUUUCUCCCUGGUGAGCGGCCAUUUUGAGAGAAGGUCAGGGUUUCCAGAGCCUGGAACUAAUGCUGUAACCCUUUGGCGCCACUAGAGGGCCACGGACACCCACUAUAAUGAAUUUCAGAUUCGGGAAAUUUAACAAAUUGUUAAGUCCCAAGAAGAAGGAACCUUUCAGAAGGAUUUCCAGUCUGACAUUGAGGUCAAGAGAUCAUAGACCUAACUGAUUACUGCCACGGGGAAGAGAGAAGGAAGCUGAUCAGAAAAUCUCCCCUUGUUGUCACUUAGAAUGAAAGCUCCUCGGCAGCCCGCCUUUCCCGGGAGAGGCACAGGGCGCCGCAGCCAGCCAGUCGGUCAGAAGGACUGCGCAGUCACAGUGUUUGCUGAGACCUUUGUAAAGUAGGUCAAAUGGCUUCUCCUUCUUCAUGCUUCUCUCCUGAUUUGCUAAACGUUGCAUACACAAAAUAAAAGGC